UUCCUACGGGGCGCAGCAGUGGGGAAUAUGGCACAAUGGGGGAAACCCUGAUGCAGCAACGCCGCGUGAGUGAGGAAGUAUUUCGGUAUGAAAAGCUCUAUCAGCAGGGAAUAGAAAAGAAGGUACCUGAAAAAGAAGCCCCGCCUAACUACGCGCCAGCAGCCGCGGUAAUACGUAGGGGGCAAGCGUUAUCCGGAUUUACUGGGUGUAAGGGGAGCGCAGACGGAAAGGCAAGUCAGAAGUGAAAACCCAAGGAUCAACCAUGGGA
rnacentral:rRNA from 1 species